UCAACCCAAUUCCUUCAAUCCAGACUCUUCUACCCACUCCAAGUGGUACAGGGUGGCAUGGGCGGAUGUGAUACAUUGUACCUUCAAGAGAUGAUGCUGCACCAGCACUGAGAUAGGAUUAGCCUUGAUCCCAUAAGUAGAGCACAGCAGCUCUUGAAGGACACAUGUGGGCUGCUGGCUCCAUGGGGCAUGUGCAAGCACACUGCCUGUCGGUCUGAGUGAAGAGAGAGAGAGAGCACCUGCAU